GGGAAAUGGGAAGAAGGGCCAGCCUCAGGCCCCAUAACAAACUGGGGCA
rfam:Macaca mulatta chromosome 9, whole genome shotgun sequence.